AGUUGUCUGUCAGUUGUUUCUGAUUUGUCAUUUUCUAGCUCAUGUCUGUCACAGGCCAUCCUUCUCAACACAUAAUCCUCAAGUAGGGGUGUAGACAUUCCUGUUUUGUUAGACUAAGCAGGGUGGAGUAAAUCUAAAAUUCACAGAAUGAGUCAUCAUAUAAAUAAUACAUGUUGUCAUUUGCCUCCAUGGCCAUUGUUUAAUCAACAAAAAGCACAAACCUCCACCUCUUAACCAAAGACCAACAAUAAUAAGAAGCUGUCUUUAAUCGGAUGAUAUCCCAUCUUUUAGCCUAUGACAGUUCAUACACCCAACAGGAAUAAACAAUUUAUAGGAUGGUCAAAAUGGAGGAAAAGCUGACAAUCUGUGCAAAGUGCUGCAGAUUCAUCACUGUAGCAAUAACAAAUGGCUGUAAAAAUACCAUACGAUUCCUCUUCCUGCUACCCUCAGUGGGAACAAAACUGAUACAGAAGGUUUGGGCUACAAGUCAAAAAAGAAGAUAAACAAACGGAGCUAACAGUUGGGAGUAGGAUUAGCGAAAACGGUCUCAUGAGAUGUCUGUUAGGGGAAUGGACAAGACUGAUAAUAACAAAUGGAAAUAAAGAACAAGCACAUAAACA
rnacentral:lncRNA from 1 species